ACAUUUUCUUCGACUUUCAAUUUCUAUAAAUAACCCUCAAGUUCAGAUAAGAUAAUUCAAAGUCCCGAAUUUUCAAACUCAAAUAAUUUUUUGUAUUCCAAAUGUAUCACCUCUGAACCUUUAAACUAUAAAUAAAUUGAUAUUUUCAUUUUAUUCCACAUUUAUUUCAACUUUAAAGUUAAUGCUAAUCGUCUUUCCAUUCUCAAUAUACCCC
rnacentral:lncRNA from 1 species